GAGAAAGCGUGGCUCUGUGCAUUGGUAGUCACAGACAAGAGUGGCUCAUUUUGGGAAGCUCUCUCUGCUCUGACCCAAGUGAGCACCUUUCUUCUGAGCACCACCCAAAGUGGGGUGCUCACUUCGAAGUGAGCUGAAGGGGUUAAAAAGACUCAGUGAGACAUAGAUUUGACACAUUCCCAUCAUGCACCGACACACCCCAUGGAAUGAAACCUCAUGUCCUCUACCCACCUUAGGGGCAUUUAUUGCACCCUGGUGAGUCCUACUCUACUUUAAUCUGUGUAUUUUAUUUAAAAAUCAAUUCACAAUCCCUACUGGGUCAGCCUGCAGUCCAAGAAGCACUGUUGCAUUCCAACCCCAUUUUCCAGACAAGACCACAGACUCACUGGUCCAUAGGGCCACCCCACACCUCAGAAGCGUGAGGGUGACCUCACACCUUUGCCCAGCACAGGACAGAGACUUGAAGUACUUUUAGCUGUGCAAGAACUCUGGUUGAGCAAAAACCACACAUGCUUAUGCCUGCAAACCUUAUUCUCAUUCUCAGCAAGGCCAGAGGAAAAGGAGGCAUCUCUGCUAAUCCUCCCACCCAGUUCCUGAGAAGAAAGCACCAGGACCCCUGGAAGCCACAUGCUGUGUUGGCCUGGCUGCUGCUCCCCACUACUCCUUGGGGUUAAAGGCCUGGUGCCCCCUCCCAUCACCUCCAGCCACACCUCUCCUGUCUUCAAAAGCCUAGAAGGCUAGUCCUUCCUCACUCUAAAGUCCUUUCAGAAAAACUUCUGAAACAGUGUGUCUCAAACUGCUAUAAAGUCAUAAAGAUUUUUCACAAGAGAUCCCCUAGAUAUAUACAGAUAUAGGCAAUUAAGCAAGUGCUGCACAACAUACUACUUACCUUUGUGAAAUAUGAUGCACUCCGAUAGUUUCUAUUGUGAUUGCUAUGCUAUGCUGUGCUGUGCUAUGCUAUGCUAUGCUAUGCUAUGCUAUGCUAUGCUAUGCUAUGCUAUUCUUUUAAGAGCUCAUUAUAACUGACCAAGUGGAUUUCACAACUUUCUAAGGAAUCUAAGUCUGCAGCUAAAAUACUCCAAAAAUUCCAGCAAAGACAAAAACUCAGGCCUAGAUUUGCCACCAGUGCCCUCUCCUGGGCAGCUUUAUUAUAAGUCGUGUCUCAUAACAUUGUUUAAUUGUCAUAAACAUUGUUUAAUUGUCAACAUCUGUGUGUGUGUACUGAGUCUCGCCAGGAAAUAGAUGAUUUAUGUCGGUUACAACCUAAAAGAUUUAAGAAGCAAUGUUUAGAAAUGUUCUGAUAAAUAAAGGCUGAGCUAA